rnacentral:rRNA from 1 species
AGCAGCCGCGGUAAUUCCAGCUCCAAUAGCGUAUAUUAAAGUUGUUGCAGUUAAAAAGCUCGUAGUUGAAUUUCGGGAUCAAUACGUCGGUCGUGCUUCGGUACGUACUGGCGUAAUUGAUUUCUCCCUUCUGACGAACCAUGAUGUCAUUAACUUGGUGUCAUGGGAAAUCAGGACUGUUACUUUGAAAAAAUUAGAGUGUUUAAAGCAGGCUAACGCUUGAAUACAUUAGCAUGGAAUAAUGAAAUAGGACGUUUGAUCCUAUUUUGUUGGUUUCUAGGAUCGACGUAAUGAUUAAUAGGGAUAGUUGGGGGCAUUAGUAUUCAAUUGUCAGAGGUGAAAUUCUUGGAUUUAUUGAAGACUAACUACUGCGAAAGCAUUUGCCAAGGAUGUUUUCAUUAAUCAAGAACGAAAGUUAGGGGAUCGAAGACGAUCAGAUACCGUCGUAGUCUUAACCAUAAACUAUGCCGACUAGGGAUCGGAUGAUGUUAAUUUUUUAAUGACUCGUUCGGCGCCUUACG